rnacentral:misc_RNA from 1 species
UAAAGGGGAAAGGGGAAGGAAAAACGCUAGCGAUUGUUCUUGCUCCGGUUCACUGAGGCUUGAAGAUCCUGGCCGGAGCUACCUGUUUCAGCGAGCCAAAAGGUAAAACAGAAAUGGGUUUUUAGAUCGAUAUCUGGUGGAGAAGCAAGGGAAGGAGAAGAAAACUGGAAAUGGACAGUUGGUUGUUUUCUUGUUACGUUUCGUCGGAGUGAUGAAAGGAGGUAGUGAGCUGCUGAGUUUUUUUGGAGGAAGGAGGUUGAGGGAAUGGUGGUCAGUGAGAAGAGAAGAGAGG